ACAAACAUACAUACACACACACACACACACACACACACACAUAUAUAUAUAUAUAUAUACAUAAAUUUUUAUUUAUAUACACGGCGCAAUCAACACACACUACCUCAGUUUAUAUAUAAAUACACAUACACACACGCACGAAAAAUAGACAAUAUACACAUUACAUUUAAAUAACAACAAUUAGAACAACAAAAUAAUAAUAAUAACAAUAAUAAUAAAACACCUGGCCCUUAUCCUCACCUGAUAUCUACAAAAGGAAAAAAAAAAAAUUAACAGAAAAAUUAUAUUUUUCUCUACGUCAUCUUUAUCAUACAAAAAUCGCCGCAACCUGGGUUGGUUCCUACAGUUAACUUCUUAUUAUUAUUGUUUUGGUGGGUGAGUGCGUGGCAACGCACCAGUUCUAAAACAGUCAAAAUUUCACCAUCAAAAGCAGAGAACAUGACAGAGACUCAAGCAAAA